rnacentral:rRNA from 1 species
AUUGAACGCUGGCGGCAGGCCUAACACAUGCAAGUCGAACGAGUGGCGGACGGGUGAGUAAUGUCUGGGAAACUGCCUGAUGGAGGGGGAUAACUCCUGGAAACGGUAGCUAAUACCGCAUACCAUCAGAUGUGCCCAGAUGGGAUUAGCUUGUUGGUGGGGUAACGGCUCACCAAGGCGACGAUCCCUAGCUGGUCUGAGAGGAUGACCAGACAAAAUGGGACUGAGAAACGGGCCAGACUCCUACGGGAGGCAGCAGGGGGGAAGAUUGCACAAUGGGCGCAAGGCUGAUGCAGCCAUGCCGGGUGGAUGAAGAAGGCCUUCGGGUGGUAAAGUACUUUCAGCGGGGAGGCGGUACCCGCAGAAGAAGCACCGGCUAACUCCGUGCCAGCAGCCGCGGUAAUAC